AAAGGGCCAAGACCCCUGUCCAAGGCAGAAGGAAGGUGGUCAUGUUACCCUAACGGAAAAAAAUAAUAACUUUUAUUUUCGAGUUAAUUUCAUCCUCAAUUCUUCACAUUCAGAAAGGGACAACUUUCUAUUUUCCUGAAACAUUUCCAAUUAAUUACCCUGCCCUGACGUGAUGUAAGUCACCUUCUCCUCUUCCCAGGUGGAGAAACUAAGGAACAGAGAGGCCAAACUGACAAAGCCUGCAGCCAGUAAGUGUUGCAUGCCCAGAGGGAAGUCCAACUCUAAUUCCUGUGUCAUUUUUCCAGAUUUAUUAUAUAUAAGCACAUUGUAGCUGUCUUCAGACUCACCAGAAGAGGACAUCGGAUCUCAUUACAGAUGGUUGUGAGCCACCAUGUGAACUCAGGACCUCUGGAAGAGCAGUCAGUGCUCUUAACCACUGAGCCACUCUCCAGCAGCCUCGGUUUGUUUUUAAAUGUAUGUGUAUGUGUGCGUGUGCUUACAUGAGUUUAUGUGCACUGUGUGUGUGUGUGUGUGUGUGUGUGUGUGUGUGUGUGUGUGUGUGUGUAUGCCCAAGAAGGACAGAGGUCAUUAGAUCCUCGGGGCUGGUUACAGGAGGCUGUGAGCUACCUGUUGUGUGUGGUGGGAACUGGGUCCCAAGAAAGAGCAAUAAGUGCUCUUAACUAAGGAGCCAUCUCUCUUAUGGAAACCCCCAGAUCUUUUGGACAGUCCUGAGUGGGUUUUGUUCUCAAAUUCCUUUCCCACAUUCUGUUGGUCACUUGCCCUGAAAGGAGCCAUUCUCUUCCAGGCUCCAUUGUUCCCUUCUAGGUUAAGACUAUAUACAGCUCAAGACAGGACAGAAGAAGCUAGCUCAGAUUAAAGAGUCUAGAAUGGUUCUCUCUCAACUGCUGGCUAUCUCAGUGAGCUGGAUGUUCCCUGAGGACCAGCCUGAGUCUUGCCCUCACACUCUUUUUUUUUUUUUUCUUUUUUUUCAGAGCUGGGGACCGAACCCAGGGCCUUGCGCUUCCUAGGCAAGCGCUCUACCACUGAGCUAAAUCCCCAACCCUUGCCCUCACACUCUUGUGCAAUUUCUGGCAUAGUGGCUCUGAGAAUUUCAUUUAUUUAUUUUGAGCAGUACUGAGGAUGGAACCUAGGAACCCAGGGCCUCACACCUGCCAAGCAAACACUCCAGGACUAAGCCACGUCUCCAGCCCGGAACAUGCUCGUCCAGCUGAUUAGCUUACUGAACAUAAUUGCUUUUCAACUUUUCCCCAAAGGAAAGGAACAGCAGGUGGGGCAGUGCUGCAGAACGGAUGGCCACUGUGACUUUAUUGACGUUGUUUUGAAACAAGGACUCAUUCGUUAACCCAGGCUGGCCUAGGAUUUGCCUCAAACUCAUAAUUCUCCUGUUUCAAGCUUUCAAUGCCGGCCAUUGUAAGUUUUAAAAAUAAUUUUAGGGGUUGGGGAUUUAGCUCAGUGGUAGAGUGCUUGCCUAGCAAGCGCAAGGCCCUGGGUUCGGUCCCUAGCUCCAAAAAAAAGAAAAGAAAAAAAAUAAUUUUAAA